rnacentral:rRNA from 1 species
AUUGAACGCUGGCGGCAUGCUUUACACAUGCAAGUCGAACGGCAGCGCGGGCUUCGGCCUGGCGGCGAGUGGCGAACGGGUGAGUAAUGCAUCGGAACGUGCCCAGUAGUGGGGGAUAGCCCGGCGAAAGCCGGAUUAAUACCGCAUACGACCUGAUGGUGAAAGCGGGGGACCGAAAGGCCUCGCGCUAUUGGAGCGGCCGAUGUCGGAUUAGCUAGUUGGUUGGGUAAAGGCUUACCAAGGCGACGAUCCGUAGCUGGUCUGAGAAGACGACCAGCCACACUGGGACUGAGACACGGCCCAGACUCCUACGGGAGGCAGCAGUGGGGAAUUUUGGACAAUGGGGGAAACCCUGAUCCAGCCAUGCCGCGUGCGAGAAGAAGGCCUUCGGGUUGUAAACCGCUUUUGUUCGGGAAGAAAUACUCUGGGCUAAUACCCCGGGGGGAUGACGGUACCGGAAGAAUAAGCACCGGCUAACUACGUG